rnacentral:other from 1 species
CAUUGAAUGGACGCAAUAGUAACUAGGAUGGUUGCUACUAAGGAAAGACAAUGGACACCUCUGGACGAGGAAAGGAUUGAACAUCAGGACGAUGUAAAGGACACCGCUCAAGGAUCAAGUGAAGCGAGCUAACGAGGAUUGUUGGCAGAUCAGGAUAAGAUCAUGGACACCGCUAGGAUGGCGACGAAAGGAAUACGCUGAAGGAUUACAGCACACUAUCAUGGAUUUGAUGCAUGGAGCACUUUAGUAGCUGGAUUGCUGCAAGUAAGACUACGACCCCGAAGAGCGCAAGCUCUCGGGGUUUUUCUUUA